AUGAAUGUUACUCUAGCGCCUGUGGACCGUGUCUGUGCAGUCGUAUUCUUUUAUGAUAUACUGGUGUUCAGUGCUACCUUAGAGGAACAUGUGCAGCACCUCAAGCAAGUUUUGCAACUACUCAGGCAACAUCAGUGGAGAGUUAAAGAGUCAAAGUGUGCAUUCGCCCAGCGUAGCAUAUCCUAUCUGGGCUUUGUGGUCAGUGGGAAUGGAGUGUCAACAAACCCAGCUAAGGUGCAAGCGGUCCUUGAGUGGCCAGUGCCCCAAUCUGUUAAGGAGCUUCAAGGGUUUCUUGGACUUUCAGGGUGCUACAGGAAAUUUGUGCGCAAUUAUGGUGUUAUCAGUCAGCCCUUGACUCAUCUUCUGCGCAAGAAUGUACCCUUUGUAUGGUCUACAACAACACAGACUGCUUUUGAAGUGUUGAAAAAGGCUCUAACAUCAGCACAUGUACUUGCUUUGCCAGAUUUCAAGGUUCAGUUUGUUGUUGAAACUAAUGCUAGUGACACUGGAGUAGGUGCAGUGUUGUUACAGAAGGGACAUCCAAUAACAUUUGUCAGUAAGGGCUUGGGACCAAAGAAUCGUGGAUUGUCCACUUAUGAGAAGGAAUACAUGGCGAUUUUAUUGGCUGUUGAAUAG
rnacentral:rRNA from 1 species